GACGAACGCUGGCGGCGUGCCUAACACAUGCAAGUCGAACGGAAAGGCCCUGCUUUUGCGGGGUGUUCGAGUGGCGAACGGGUGUGUAACACGUGAGUAUCCCGCCCUUGACUUUGGGAUAACUUCAGGAAACUGGGGCUAAUACCGGAUAGGAGCUCCUGCUGCAUGGUGGGGGUUGGAAAGUUUCGGCGGUUGGGGAUGGACGGGCGGCUUAGCAGCUUGUUGGUGGGGUAGUGGCUUACUAAGGCAUUGACGGGUAGCCGGCCUGAGAGGGUGACCGGGCACAUUGGGACUGAGGUAGGGCCCAGACGCCUACGGGGGGCAGCGGUGGGGAAUAUUGCACAAUGGGCCGAAGCCUGAUGCAACAACGCCGCGUGCGGGAUGACGGCCUUCGGGUUGUAAACCGCUUUCGCCUGUGACGAAGCGUGAGUGACGGUAAUGGGUAAAGAAGCACCGGCUAACUACGUG
rnacentral:rRNA from 1 species